rnacentral:lncRNA from 1 species
UAGGAUUGAUAGAUCCAAUCUUGAUGCACAUCCCACUCCUACAGUGGACCAACUGUCGCCAACAUCCACUACAAGGGCUCCUUGAGAUCCAUGUUGAUGUGUCAGUCAAACUGCAGCAGCCUCACUGCGAGCAGUAGUGUCAUCUCAGGUCAAAAGACCAGUUACACAACUGCAGCAUCGAGAAAAUCACUAACGAGUGAGCAGACAUCUAUGUG